rnacentral:rRNA from 1 species
UACGUAGGUGGCAAGCGUUAUCCGGAAUUAUUGGGCGUAAAGCGCGCGCAGGCGGUCCUUUAAGUCUGAUGUGAAAGCCCACGGCGUCAACCCGUGGAGGGUCAUUGGAAACUGAGGGACUUGAGUGCAGAAGAGGAGAGUGGAAUUCCACGUGUAGCGGUGAAAUGCGUAGAGAUGUGGAGGAACACCAGUGGCGAAGGCGACUCUCUGGUCUGUAAACUGACGCUGA